UAGUCAUAUGCUUGUCUCAAAGAUUAAGCCAUGCAUGUCUAAGUACAAGCCUAACUAAGGUGAAACCGCGAAUGGCUCAUUAAAUCACACCUAAUCUACUGGAUAGUUAACAGUUACUUGGAUAACUGCGGUAAUUCUGGAGCUAAUACAUGCACAAAGCCCCGAACUUACGUGAGGGGCGCUUUUAUUAGAUCAAAACCAAACGGCUUCGGCUGUAUCCUUGGUGACUCUGAAUAACUUUGGGCUGAUCGCAUGGCCUAGCACCGGCGACAUAUCCUUCGAAGGUGUGCCCUAUCAACUGUCGACCGUGGCAUAGACGCCCACAGUGGUUUUGACGGGUAACGGGGAAUCAGGGUUCGAUUCCGGAGAGGGAGCCUUAAAAACGGCUACCACAUCUAAGGAAGGCAGCAGGCACGCAAAUUACCCAAUGACCGAAGGUCGAGGUAGUGACAAAAAAUAACGAUACGGGACUCAUCUGAGGCCCCGUAAUCGGAAUGAGUACACUUUAAAACCGUCCCCGAGGAUCUAUU
rnacentral:rRNA from 1 species